rnacentral:rRNA from 1 species
GAUGAACGCUGGCGGCGUGCCUAAUACAUGCAAGUCGAGCGAACGGACGAGAAGCUUGCUUUUCUGAUGUUAGCGGCGGACGGGUGAGUAACACGUGGAUAACCUACCUAUAAGACUGGGAUAACUUCGGGAAACCGGAGCUAAUACCGGAUAAUAUUUUGAACCGCAUGGUUCAAAAGUGAAAGACGGUCUUGCUGUCACUUAUAGAUGGAUCCGCGCUGCAUUAGCUAGUUGGUAAGGUAACGGCUUACCAAGGCAACGAUGCAUAGCCGACCUGAGAGAGUGAUCGGCCACACUGGAACUGAGACACGGUCCAGACUCCUACGGGAGGCAGCAGUAGGGAAUCUUCCGCAAUGGGCGAAAGCCUGACGGAGCAACGCCACGUGAGUGAUGAAGGUCUUCGGAUCGUAAAACUCUGUUAUUAGGGAAGAACAUAUGUGUAAGUAACUGUGCACAUCUUGACGGUACCUAAUCAGAAAGCCACGGCUAACUACGUG